GACGAACGCUGGCGGCGUGCCUAAUACAUGCAAGUUGAGCGCUGAAGGUUGGUACUUGUCCCAACUGGAUGAGCAGCGCACGGGUGAGUAACGCGUGGGGAAUCUGUCUUUGAGCGGGGGACAACAUUUGGAAACGAAUGCUAAUACCGCAUAAAAACUUUAAACACAAGUUUUUAGUUUGAAAGAUGCAAUUGCAUCACUCAAAGAUGAUCCCGCGUUGUAUUAGCUAGUUGGUGAGGUAAAGGCUCACCAAGGCGAUGAUACAUAGCCGACCUGAGAGGGUGGACGGCCACAUUGGGACUGAGACACGGCCCAAACUCCUACGGGAGGCAGCAGUAGGGCAUCAUCGGCAAUGGACCAAAGUCUGACCGAGCAACGCCGCCUGAGGUAAGGAGGGUCUCGGAUCGUAAAACUCCGUUAGUAGAGAAGAACGUUGGUUAGAUUGGAAAGCUCAUCAAGUGACGGUAACUACCCAGAAAGGGACGGCUAACUACGUG
rnacentral:rRNA from 1 species